rnacentral:rRNA from 1 species
GUGUCAGCAGCCGCGGUAAGACGGAGGAUGCAAGCGUUAUCCGGAAUGAUUGGGCGUAAAGCGUCCGCAGGUGGCAAUUCAAGUCUGCUGUUAAAGCGCAGGGCUUAACUCUGUAAAGGCAGUGGAAACUGAAUAGCUAGAGUGUGGUAGGGGCAGAGGGAAUUCCCAGUGUAGCGGUGAAAUGCGUAGAGAUUGGGAAGAACAUCGGUGGCGAAGGCGCUCUGCUGGACCAUAACUGACACUCACAGGACGAAAGCUAGGGGAGCGAAUGGGAUUAGAUACCCCAGUAGUCCUAGCCGUAAACGAUGGAUACUAGGUGUUGUCUGUAUCGACCCGGACAGUGCCGUAGCUAACGCGUUAAGUAUCCCGCCUGGGGAGUACGCACGCAAGUGUGAAACUCAAAUGAAUUGGCGGGG